GCUGACGAGUGGCGGACGGGUGAGUAAUGUCUGGGAAACUGCCUGAUGGAGGGGGAUAACUACUGGAAACGGUAGCUAAUACCGCAUAACGUCGCAAGACCAAAGAGGGGGACCUUCGGGCCUCUUGCCAUCGGAUGUGCCCAGAUGGGAUUAGCUAGUAGGUGGGGUAACGGCUCACCUAGGCGACGAUCCCUAGCUGGUCUGAGAGGAUGACCAGCCACACUGGAACUGAGACACGGUCCAGACUCCUACGGGAGGCAGCAGUGGGGAAUAUUGCACAAUGGGCGCAAGCCUGAUGCAGCCAUGCCGCGUGUAUGAAGAAGGCCUUCGGGUUGUAAAGUACUUUCAGCGGGGAGGAAGGGAGUAAAGUUAAUACCUUUGCUCAUUGACGUUA
rnacentral:rRNA from 1 species